rnacentral:rRNA from 2 species
AACUACCUGAGUUACGUAUGAUUACCUGCUGAACUUAAGCAUAUCAUUUAGCGGAGGA